rnacentral:rRNA from 1 species
UACGUAGGGUCCGAGCGUUGUCCGGAGUUACUGGGCGUAAAGCGCGCGUAGGCGGCUUGGUAAGUCGGAUGUGAAAGCCCUGGGCUCAACCUGGGAACUGCAUUCGAUACUGUCAAGCUAGAGUGUGGGAGAGGGUGGUGGAAUUCCCGGUGUAGCGGUGAAAUGCGUAGAUAUCGGGAGGAACAUCAGUGGCGAAGGCGGCUCACUGGACCGGUACUGACGCUGAUGCGCGAAAGCGUGGGGAGCAAACAGG